rnacentral:misc_RNA from 1 species
GAACCUACCGCCAAUCUCCGAUUUGUCCGAGUCCAGCACCUCAACUGAUAAUGAUUCGGAGGAAGAUAAAAGUGAUGACGAAGACGUGGAAAGAAAGGUUACUGUACAGGAGACAAAGGCUACCGUACCAUUAGCUGCUGCAAAGAAAACGAGGAAAGAAGUGCGGAUAGAAUCUGGAAGUAAUAAGAAAAAGAAAUCAGCCUCAAAAUCCCGCGGCAAUGUGGUGAUGCGUGUUCGAAGGGAACCCGAAGUUGGCAGUGACACGGGUGACGUGGAUAUCUACGAUGAUGGAGACGGGCGGCCUAGCGAUGAUGAAGAGGAAAAGAAGCCGAAUGACAAGGAGACCGCCUCAACGCCUACAAAUCGUCGAUAUAUUCACGAACGGGCGAUUUUCCAGGAGUUGACCCAUUUAAAACGAAUGCAAAUUCAGUAUGGAAAGGUGCAAGAAAAAGUUCUCGUCCGUUCCCUAAUCUCGAAUUUUUGCAAAAUGCACAACCUAGACGUUCGCAAUUUCAAAUUCACAACUUUCUACGCCUGGGAACGGUUUCUAUAUGAUGCUCUUUCCGAGCAGCUUAAGAUCAUAUAUUUGGAGGAGCGGGAACGACUUUCUGAGACGAAUAGUGAAAUGAAGCCCAGUGGUUCUAUGAAGUUGAAUAAAUUUGACUCAAAAAUCCGCAACAGUGUUCCAAUAAACGACAAGUUCCAUGACAUGCAACGAAUCUACACCCACGCUGCAAUAACCCAAAAAUCGACCGGAAAACCACGUGGCAAGAGUGCAAAGCCCAUCGAGAGCUCCAGGAAGCGAAUUACAAGACCCUGGUAUUGA